GUAAGUAACCUACCAUGUUUACGCACACAUUACUUUGACCAGCAAAGCCCAUGUCUUUCUAGUGGUUUACAAAAAUAUAUCGUUUGCAUGUUUUGCUUUGGUACGUCUCUGUUGUAUGACUCUGGUAAUAGUAGCAAGCACAAGCACAACCUGUUCGCCGCUCCAGCAUUGCAAAAUAGAUUGCCUUGGGUUUUCAAAUGUUUACAUGAUUGUGGGUGUAAUGUUGUUAACUCGCUGAUGUCGUUUUUGAGAAGACGGUAGUUUUGCAUUUGAUAAAUACCACCUAAUGACCAUGACGGCUACACGGCAGAUCUUUAUUGUGAUGGCUACACUGAAUGAUCACAUGGAGAUGCCGGUACAUUAUUUGUUUUACCCUGGUUAUAUUGAAAUGUUCUGCUUUGUCCAUUCCAAGGUGUGGUGUUUUCCAUAGCUGUUCCUUGCUCCUGUAUCACAACAUAUCAAGGCUGCCAAGUAAAUGAAGAAUGAAUCACCGCACACUGGUCAACAGCAGACAGGGUCCUUCCACAACCACAUACUUAUGCCAGUAAAAGCCACAGCUUUUCUCCUCCAAUCCAAGAAGCCUGGACUGCAGUCACCAUCUCAACACACCAACCAAGAGAAAGGCGGAUGGCUCAAUUCAGUAUGUAGUUCUGCAAAUAUUCUCAAAGGUCUUCACAGCCCCCCAUGGUGCUGAAUGCAUUUACAUUUAUUUGUGUAAGGUAAAAACAAUGCUGAUUACAGAACAUAACUAGGGCCAUGAAUGAAAUUUGAGGUAGCAGCCAGCCAUCACCUGAUGGUGAGAGGUGGUCCUAAGAUCAGAGAGAAGCAGGUUGAAAUCCCAUCCUUACCUCUCCCUACCUACACCUCCAUCCACAGCUGAAGUGCACUUGAGCAAGGCACACAAGUCCACUUAGGUCCUGGGACUGUAGCCAACACCCUGUAAAACCCUGCUGUGUAAUUUGAUGUAAUGAAGCCCUAAUAUAGUCUAACACAUUGCUUGUUACAGAUAUGGAAAAUUGCACAAUAAAAGUUCCAGGACAUGAAGGCUGCAUACUGUGAACGUCAACCUUCAGGGCACCGUCCUGCGCAGAAGACUUUCUACCCUAAGAGGGAUGGCUGACCGCAGACACUCACAACCAGCACAGACGCCUCCAACCUCAGACUAGGCUCUUCACAGUUGCUGCACUUACCCACCUUCCCAGAGUUUUUGUGUGGUAAUGACAACUGUAAAUAUAGUAUAAAGUAAUGUAUCUAGUGUCAUGUGUAAUACAUUGUUUAAAUUGUCCAUACAUUUCAAUGACAGUAAAUAUUGGUGGACACAAUUUGACUGUGUGGCUUUUUUUUUUAUUCAUUCUCUGACUGAAAAUGCAUGGUUACAUAAUUUAUAUAUUCCACAAGACCACAAUCAGAAGAUUAUUUGACAGGUUGCAUUUAUUUUCUAUGUAUGAAAAAAACAAUGGUAACAAGACAAACGUGGUUCCAAACCAAAAAGGUGAGAUGUACAGAUGAAUGCUCCUACAGAUAAUGAAAAAUAAUAAAAGUCUGCACACUGCCGGUUUGUGUGUUUUAUACCGUACUCUGUAUAAACCUUUUUAUAUUGCUCUAGUGGAGCAGGGUAACCCUGGCUAAUCCUGGGUAUUGUACUGUGUAUUACAACGUCAGCCCUGUUCAAGUGCCCCAUACUGUCUGUAGGCUA